CAACUGCCUCUUUGGCAACUUUGAAAACUUGCUUCUUCUGCUCUGUAUUUAAUAAAAGUUUUCGCCUGAGCUACCAUUUACAUAAAGAC
rnacentral:sRNA from 1 species